rnacentral:misc_RNA from 1 species
AACGCACAUUGCGCCCCCUGGCAUUCCGGGGGGCAUGCCUGUCCGAGCGUCAUUUCUGCCCUCAAGCACGGCUUGUGUGUUGGGUGUGGUCCCCCCGGGGACCUGCCCGAAAGGCAGCGGCGACGUCCGUCUGGUCCUCGAGCGUAUGGGGCUCUGUCACUCGCUCGGGAAGGACCUGCGGGGGUUGGUCACCACCACAUUUUACCACGGUUGACCUCGGAUCAGGUAGGAGUUACCCGCUGAACUUAA